GGCUGCGUGCUGACCGGGCGCGGGGCGCGGCGGGCGACCUGAUCCACAUGCCGCGUGCUGAUGAAGGCCUUCGGGUUGUAAACUGCUUUUGGUCGGAAAGAAAGGGGUCUCUCUAAUUCCGGGGGGUCAUGAAUGUACCGUAAGAAUAAACCCCGGCUAACUUCCUGGCCGCAACCGCGGUAAUUAACUUCUUCCCAACCUGGGGUUUUAUCCGGAGGCUUCUUCCUCGGCGGCGUUGCUGCUUCAGGCUUUCCCGUUGCGCAAUAUUCCCAUGCUGUUCCUUAUUUCCCCGGGCCCCCCCACCCUCCCUCUGCGGGGGGGAAAAAAUAAUAAAAAAUAACCCACCCUUUUUUUCCCCAAUAUAUAAA
rnacentral:rRNA from 1 species